GUCGGGGGGCUGACACGGGGUAACGCGACACCCCCCCCACCCCCCAAAACAGCCGCGCGAGUCUGGGGUUGCACGUGCGCGCAGGCACCCACGGUCCCAACCUGGAAUUUGAACUCCUCUUCAGUGCCUCUCCCUCCCUCUCGGAAGAAGAGGAGGGUGGAAGAUCUUGGGAUCUUCUGAUUUCCAUCGAUCCAAGCUGACUGAUUGAGCAUUGGUGUCGUAUCAUGCCUGUGUGCUCCCUGAUAAAUGAUUUCAAUCUGAAAAAAAUCUCGCUUUUUUGCCAUCUGCAUGCAAAAUCUUCAGGAAAAAUUCCAUGAUCUGGAGUGAUUUGGUCCGAUGCCACAGGAACGGUCUGCUCUGCACACCUUAGGAAGUGCAAAAAGGGAAAAGACAAGAAGAUAGAGCCCUCCAUGCUGCGGCCCCUGGGUGCUGCCCGAUCACUCAGUCACAUCAAGGCUGGCUGCCUCCCGUGCCAACAUCAGGACGUGACAGAUGUCCUUAACCUUUACAGGUGCAGGGCCUGCAUUUCUUCAGUCUUUUUUCAUUGGAUGACUCCAAGCAUGGAUUAUCAGCAGCUCAGAUUUCUUUGGCCAAAGUGCUUUGUUGCCUAUACAUCCAGGUUAAAUCUAAGCAAUACUUCUGAUCCAUGUAGGCUUUUGACUUGGUUCUGCAUCUUUGGCGUUUACAAAAUGAUCAGCGUUUGACCUCCCCCUUUUCUAUUUCUUAAACAUCAGCAGAAAAUUCUAUUUUAAUAAAACAAUGCAUCCUCCCCCUGCAAUGUUUGUAUCCAAGAAACUGCAGCAUUACAAGAGUGUGAGAAAAUAUUGCUGAUUAAAAUCAGGGUAAGAAAUGACAGUGAAA